GAUGAACGCUGGCGGCGUGCCUAAUACAUGCAAGUCGAGCGAACAGACGAGAGUGCUUGCACUCUCUGCCGUUAGCGGCGGACGGGUGAGUAACACGUGGGUAACCUACCUAUAAGACUGGGAUAACUUCGGGAAACCGGAGCUAAUACCGGAUAAUAUUUAGCUUCGCAUGAAGCAAUAGUGAAGGACGGUUCUGCAGUCACUUAUAGAUGGACCCGCGGUGUAUUAGCUAGUUGGUGAGGUAACGGCUCACCAAGGCAACGAUACAUAGCCGACCUGAGAGGGUGAUCGGCCACACUGGGACUGAGACACGGCCCAGACUCCUACGGGAGGCAGCAGUAGGGAAUCUUCCGCAAUGGACGAAAGUCUGACGGAGCAAUGCCGCGUGAGUGAAGAAGGUUUUCGGAUCGUAAAACUCUGUUGUAAGGGAAGAACAAGUACGUUAGUAACUGAACGUACCUUGACGGUACCUUACCAGAAAGCCACGGCUAACUACGUG
rnacentral:rRNA from 1 species